GUCGGUAAUCACACACUAUUGAUAACAGAAUACAAUGGAGCGACUGUGAUCACCACAGUGUGGAAGCAAACAAUACACGCGGUAAUACUUUCUUGUUUCAUAACGACCACGUUUUACGUCUCAAUUCUUGCAAGUUGUAAAACAUCCGGACACUUAUCACUAUGUGGACGAACACGCCAUUACAUGAACGCGGAACGAAAGUAUUAUAUGUUGUACUGUUUUACUGUUGGUGAAAAAAAAAAAAAAAAACUGUUGGUAUGGAAGCCUGAUAAGUACGCCACAUGAAGUAUUACGGUAUAUAAUUAUGUGUACAUUAAAUAGGUUCGUAUUUGUUGAGAGAAAAAAAUAUACAAAACACGUUGGAAACGUUGCGCAACACGGUGAAACUUAAUUAACACCUUCUCGUUCAUGAACUUGGUCGAUAUCGUAACGAGCCAACAAGAUUACAUGACAUCUCCACAUCCUGCAAACGGUGAAAUCUGGCUCGCGCUCAAUUCCAUCCCGUUCCACUAUUCAGCCAGCGAACAUCUCUAGACGUCCACAAUCUAGAACAAUCCGAGGCACGUUCGCUUCUCUGAACUGCCUCCUACGAAUGAAACCCGGGCGAGAAACAAGAAUAACGAAUGGCUGCUUGCGCCUUUUUUUUCUUUCACUCAAGGUCAAAAGUUUUCCACACAAUUUUCAACACAUAGCAUUCGUUAAUGUAA